ensembl:lncRNA
AGCAGAAAAUCAAACAGGUUUGCCCAAGCUCUCAGUGAUAGAGGUUCCUUCCUGCAGCUGCACCAGCAGGUGCCAGGAGGACCCCAAGUCUCCAGAAACCUUUAGUUGAGUUGUCCUCUGGCUAGAGACAGGUCCCUGCUGGGACAAGGGAGCAGUUCCAGUGCACACCACAGAAAAGCCACGGUAUUCCCGCAGUGGGACAUCCCUCAUCCACCUGUGCUCCAGCAGGAAUGUUUACUACUGGGCUAGGCACAGGAAAACCUCUCUUCAGCAGAAAUUCCCUAAUGCACAGAGAGCUGGAAAUGAGCACCCCCAGUGUGAGGGCUGGCACAGAACUCUCCCUGGAAGAAUCCUAAAGAAUUGUGAUUUCUUACACUAUAUUACAGGUGGGAGGGAGGAACAGCCUCACAGCCAGGCAGGGAGAGCAAGUUCUGAACCCUCUCAGAAGGCUGGCACACCAGUGGCACCUGCUCUGAACCUCCUGAGGGAUGGUUGUGUAGUAGGAAAACCUACUUCCAGUGCAACAACUGACUCCAUUCCUAGCUGUGCCUGGCCAGGCCACAGCUCUUCAAUCCUCCCUGCACCUUCCUAGCCCAGGACGGGUGGGGACAUGGCCUCGGGUCAGUGUGGCAGCAGGAUGAGCCCUCAGCUGCUGUCUGAGGACAAAGACCCACCCUGGCUCUGGACUGCACUUCCAAGGUGAGGUGCAACCUGUGCUUCUGCUUGAGCAGCUCUGAGUGUCUGAGUGACUGAAAGCAGGAGCGGAACAGCAGCAGAGCAGCCCCGAGUGUGAACCCCCCCGGGAUGCUGCAGCCGUGCGUUCGCAUCCCAGCCACAGCCCUGACCAGAUUGGGCCUUUGAGAAAACUGAUGAGGGGAAAUUGCACAUUUUGAAAAGGUGGAAAGUGUGACUUAGCCUGUAAAGGCAUUUUCUGUGAAAAAUGCAGAACUGUCAAUUUUGGAUUAAAACAAAACCUGUAGUGCUAUUAACUGCGUUGAAAGGCACGGGGGAGGGAAGGGCUGUGAGGGAGGUGGUGUGCUUGGCAUGCCUGCAGUGAGGCAGAAUGGCAGAUGGUCAAAAUAAUGCAGGUUUCUCCAAAUGGACAAGCUGAGGCAGCUUAGAGAGAGAGGGGAAAAGGAAAAUAAAGAAAUAAAAUUUAAAAAAAAAAUACUAAAA